AUUUUCUGCCACCGAAUACAUUAGCAUGGGAUAAUGGAAUAGGACCCUGUCCUCCUAUUUUCAGUUGGUUUUGGCAGCGCGAGGACUAGGGUAAUGAUUAAUAGGGAUAGUUGGGGGCAUUAAUAUUUAAUUGUCAGAGGUGAAAUUCUUGGAUUUAUGAAAGAUUAACUUCUGCGAAAGCAUCUGCCAAGGAUGUUUUCAUUAAUCAAGAACGAAAGUUAGGGGAUCGAAGACGAUCAGAUACCGUCGUAGUCUUAACCAUAAACGAUGCCGACCAGCGAUUAGGAGACGUUGAAUACAAAA
rnacentral:rRNA from 1 species